rnacentral:rRNA from 1 species
AACGAACGCUGGCGGCAUGCCUAACACAUGCAAGUCGAACGAUACCUUCGGGUCUAGUGGCUCACGGGUGCGUAACGCGUGGGAACCUGCCAUUAGGGUGGGAAUAACUCCCCGAAAGGGGUGCUAAUACCGGAUAAUGUCUUCGGACCAAAGAUUUAUCGCCUUUGGAUGGGCCCGCGUUGGAUUAGCUAGUUGGUAGGGUAAAAGCCUACCAAGGCGACGAUCCAUAGCUGGUCUGAGAGGAUGAUCAGCCACACUGGGACUGAGACACGGCCCAGACUCCUACGGGAGGCAGCAGUGGGGAAUAUUGGACAAUGGGCGAAAGCCUGAUCCAGCAAUGCCGCGUGAGUGAUGAAGGCCUUAGGGUUGUAAAGCUCUUUUACACGGGAUGAUAAUGACAGUACCGGGAGAAUAAGCUCCGGCUAACUCCGUG